AUUCACCCAAAAACACCACAGUGUCAGUCAGUCCCUCUGGUCCAGUACCAGAAGACAGCACUGUGACUCUGACAUGCAGUAGUACUGCCAACCCAGCAGUAAGGAACUACACCUGGUACAGAGCUGAUGGAAGCAAGGAGACUUUUAUUGGGACCGGACCUGUUUUAAACAUUAAAGCUUCUGAAGUCAGUGGUCCUUUUUUCUGUAAGGCUGAAAAUGAUUACCUCUUUAUCCUAAUCUUCCACUGUCCCUUGUAUGUUUCAGACCAAGUGACACUGACAGUCUCCAUCAUCAUAGUUGUCGCACUGCUAGUACUAGUAUGUGCUCUGCUGUUAGUCAUCAGGGCUCAGAAGACUCGCCAUAACCUUCCUAAGGGCACCGUUGUUGUGAGUCAACUUCUAAUAAGUGGAGAGGGAAAUGAGGUACCCAACACAACAGAAGACGACAUUUAUGUCAACGCCAGUGUGCUGAGACAGGAAGAUGUCGCCCCUCCUGCAGCUGUCUCUGAGCCAAGCAACGCCGACUCAGCAAGCUCUGGGCCAAACAAUGCAGAAGGAGCCAAUAAAAACUUAGAGAAGAAGAAUGAAGGAGGCAGCGACGUGGUUUACGCGAAUGUGAACUGGAAGCGCAAGAGCAAGAAGAAGAAGAAGGAAGAAAACGCUGUGGACAUGGAUCAGCUGGGUAGCUCCUAUCUUGAGGAGGAGAGGUGCAUGGUGGGAGGCAUGAGCAGAAAAUCUGUGAGCAAUGCAAUGGAGAUGGGAAGCCUAUAUGACAAUGUAGAGCCUAGAAAUGUGAAGAAGGAAGUGGAAUGUGAAUAUGCCCUGGUUCAAUUUUUAAAACAAAAGUGAGCACACAUAGAUCACACUUCUAUAUUGCUGUGCCUAUUUUCUCUUGUUCUCUUGUACAUAAGUUUCCUCAUUUGUUUUUGUUGCUGCUUUGAAACAGAAAUUUAAAUGAACAGAAUUAUGUUUAAUUGUUUUUAAGUUCAAGGGGUUUUAAAUAUCUUGCAGAUUUUGUGUCACUGAAUAAUUUUGUUUUAUGUGCAUUAUAUACUGUAUUUUUAUAUAUAAUUUUGAGUCAUAUAAUCAUGUUUGGCUUGUGUCAAUUGAUAGAUGCCCUUUAACAUUCAUUUUGUGAUGCAGCAUUUUUUGUUUUAUUGUAUUAUUUUGAACAUUUGAUUUUUGUAUAAAUUUAUCCGGAUGUAUAAACAACAUCCACAUUCUUAUUUUUGUCUAGAAUUACAUUUAUUCUUUCAAACCAACAUCUAAACAUUCCCAUCAGUCUCCAAUUUUGUAUUUAAUUUAUUUUAUUGCAUCUUACCCUGGCCAUUGUGUUUUAAACAUGCACUGAAAAACAAGUGGUGGAGUGUUUAGCACAACAUGUUUAGAAACAGGAAAGUUUCCUGUUUGAGACUGAAUAGAACAGAGGGGGUGUACAGCGGAUUAAGUGGUGGUAAAGUGAUAGAUUUGACCACAGUAGCAGAUCAGUAGGCCAUCACAGACACAUUCAUGAAGCAGCUACUUUUCAUGAGCUAAAACAAAGUCUUAUUGUGUGGAAAUGUACAUUGCUUAAUCAUUUUGUUAUCAGUAAAAGGUAUUUUAAAGUAUUUAAGCUUUUCUGAUAUUGUUACGUGUUUUUUUAACACUAUUUGCAAUAUAGUGUAUCUG
rnacentral:lncRNA from 15 species